rnacentral:rRNA from 1 species
GACGAACGCUGGCGGCGUGCUUAACACAUGCAAGACGAACGAUGAAGCCGGAGCUUGCUCUGGUGAAUUAGUGGCGAACGGGUGAGUAACACGUGAGUAACCUGCCCUUGACUCUGGGAUAACUGCGGGAAACUGUAGCUAAUACCGGAUACGACCCUCGGAGGCAUCUCCUGGGGUGGAAAGAAUUUCGGUCAAGGAUGGACUCGCGGCCUAUCAGCUAGUUGGUGAGGUAAAGGCUCACCAAGGCGACGACGGGUAGCCGGCCUGAGAGGGUGACCGGCCACACUGGGACUGAGACACGGCCCAGACUCCUACGGGAGGCAGCAGUGGGGAAUAUUGCACAAUGGGCGCAAGCCUGACGCAGCAACGCCGCGUGAGGGAUGACGGCCUUCGGGUUGUAAACCUCUUUUAGCAGGGAAGAAGCGAAAGUGACGGUACCUGCAGAAAAAGCACCGGCUAACCACGUGCCAGCAGCCGCCGUAA